GCUCUGGUGGCCCAGUGGUAACUCUCCUGCCUGUGGUGUGGGUGACCCGUGUUCAAAUCCCGCCAUUAGUGCC